GUAGGUGGCAAGCGUUGUCCGGAAUUAUUGGGGCGUAAAGCGCGCGCAGGCGGUCCUUUAAGUCUGAUGUGAAAGCCCACGGCUCAACCGUGGAGGGGUCAUUGGAAACUGGGGGACUUGAGUGCAGAAGAGGAGAGUGGAAUUCCACGUGUAGCGGUGAAAUGCGUAGAGAUGUGGAGGAACACCAGUGGCGAAGGCGACUCUCUGGUCUGUAACUGACGCUGAGGCGCGAAAGCGUGGGGAGCGAACAGGAUUAGAUACCCUGGUAGUCCACGCCGUAAACGAUGAGUGCUAAGUGUUAGAGGGUUUCCGCCCUUUAGUGCUGCAGCUAACGCAUUAAGCACUCCGCCUGGGGAGUACGGUCGCAAAGACUGA
rnacentral:rRNA from 1 species